AUUGAACGCUGGCGGCAGGCCUAACACAUGCAAGUCGAACGAGCGGCGGACGGGUGAGUAAUGUAUGGGAAUCUGCCUGAUAGAGGGGGAUAACUACUGGAAACGGUGGCUAAUACCGCAUACUAUCGGAUGUACCCAGAUGGGAUUAGCUGGUAGGUGGGGUAAAGGCUCACCAAGGCGACGAUCUCUAGCUGGUCUGAGAGGAUGAUCAGCCACACUGGGACUGAGACACGGCCCAGACUCCUACGGGCGGCAGCAGUGGGGAAGAUUGCACAAUGGGCGCAAGCCUGAUGCAGCCAUGCCGCGUGUAUGAAGAAGGCCUUAGGGUUGUAAAGUACUUUCAGCGUGUAGGCGUUACCCGCAGAAGAAGCACCGGCUAACUCCGUGCCAGCAGCCGCGGUAAUUC
rnacentral:rRNA from 1 species